ACGGAAGGCAGCAGUGGGGAAUAUUGCACAAUGGGGGAAACCCUGAUGCAGCGACGCCGCGUGAGUGAAGGAGUAUUUCGGUAUGUAAAGCUCUAUCAGCAGGAAAGAAAAUGACGGUACCUGACUAAGAAGCCCCGGCUAACUACGUGCCAGCAGCCGCGGUAAUACGUAGGGGGCAAGCGUUAUCCGGAUUUACUGGGUGUAAAGGGAGCGUAGACGGCUUUGCAAGUCUGAAGUGAAAGCCCGGGGCUCAACCCCGGAACUGCUUUGGAAACUGUAGAGCUAGAGUGCAGGAGAGGUAAGUGGAAUUCCUAGUGUAGCGGUGAAAUGCGUAGAUAUUAGGAGGAACACCAGUGGCGAAGGCGGCUUACUGGACUGUAACUGACGUUGAGGCUCGAAGGCGUGGGGAGCAAACAGGAUUAGAUACCCUGGUA
rnacentral:rRNA from 1 species